GAGAAAUGAGGAAAAUGUAGCAAGUCUUGAGUCAUAAUGAAGACUUUAAUCCAACUCUGAUCUCUGAGCGCAAUC